rnacentral:rRNA from 1 species
GAUCUAGCGGAAACGACACUAACAAUCCUUCGGGUGCGUUAAUGGGCGUCGAGCGGCGGACGGGUGAGUAAUGCCUAGGAAAUUGCCUUGAUGUGGGGGAUAACCAUUGGAAACGAUGGCUAAUACCGCAUAAUGCCUACGGGCCAAAGAGGGGGACCUUCGGGCCUCUCGCGUCAAGAUAUGCCUAGGUGGGAUUAGCUAGUUGGUGAGGUAAUGGCUCACCAAGGCGACGAUCCCUAGCUGGUCUGAGAGGAUGAUCAGCCACACUGGAACUGAGACACGGUCCAGACUCCUACGGGAGGCAGCAGUGGGGAAUAUUGCACAAUGGGCGAAAGCCUGAUGCAGCCAUGCCGCGUGUAUGAAGAAGGCCUUCGGGUUGUAAAGUACUUUCAGUUGUGAGGAAGGGUGUGUAGUUAAUAACUGCGCAUCUUGACGUUAGCAACAGAAGAAGCACCGGCUAACUCCGUGCCAGCAGCCGCUUUAAUACGCAGGGUGCGAGCGUUAAUCGGAAUUACUGGGCGUCAAGCGCAUGCAGGUGGUUCAUUAACUCAGAUCUGAAAGCCCGGGGCUCCACCUCGGAACUGC